rnacentral:tRNA from 1 species
GGGCUGAGUGGUAGAGCAAGUGCCUCGCAUGCCCAAGGCCCUGGGUUCUAACCCCAGCACCA